GUUUGGAAUACAAACAGGUUUGCUCUCUCUCUCUCACAAAAUCAAACACCACCGAACCAAACCGCACCUAACCUCACCUCACCGCGAUCCGCUCAUCUCACCGUCGCUCACCGCCGUGCGACGUCGCACAUCGCCACCGCCGCAAAUCACAGUCGCACAUCACCGUUGGCUCGCCUCCAGCUUACAUUCAGAACAGGUUUUGUUGCAAUGUGGGCAAGCUUUUGGAUCUAAAUCGUGGUCAAUAUUGAAAUCAGUUGCAGUUGGAGCCCAUUCAUCAGGGUGAACAGCCCAACAGCAAAUGUAGCCUGAAUUUUGGUGAAGGUUUCAGAAAAUGAGAAGAAAUAUCACCCUUCAAGGGUACUAACCCUUGUCUAUCAACCAUUUGCACUUGGAACAAUGACAAUACUUGCAUAUAAUGAGUCAAAGAUUGACACAAGGCGGUGCAACUUGACUGGAUACAUCCUUUUCUUCAUUUGUACUUUCGCUCUAUUAGUUCUGGAUUUAGCGACAUCAAGGAAGGGAGGAGUUAGAAAUUUUAUUGGUAUAUGCAAUCAUUGUUGCUGCUUUCGGAGUUGCAGAUGCCCAUGUUUAAGGUGGAAUGGUUGGAGACCUAUCCUUCAUGUGAUUUUUUUUUUU